rnacentral:rRNA from 1 species
UACGGAGGGUGCAAGCGUUGUUCGGAAUUAUUGGGCGUAAAGGGCGCGUAGGCGGUAAUGAAAGUCAGAUGUGAAAUACUUCGGCUCAACUGAAGAACUGCAUCUGAAACUUCAUAACUAGAGUACGGAGGAGGGAAAUGGAAUUCCCGGUGUAGAGGUGAAAUUCGUAGAUAUCGGGAGGAACACCAGUGGCGAAGGCGAUUUCCUGGUCUGGUACUGACGCUGAGGCGCGGAAGUGUGGGGAGCAAACAGGAUUAGAUACCCUGGUAGUCCACACUGUAAACGGUGAACACUAGGUGUGGGAGGUGUAAUACCUUCUGUGCCGUAGCUAACGCGAUAAGUGUUCCGCCUGGGAAGUACGGCCGCAAGGUUGAA